rnacentral:rRNA from 1 species
AUACGUAGGGGGCGAGCGUUGUCCGGAAUGACUGGGCGUAAAGGGCGCGUAGGCGGCCGAUUAAGUCUGGAGUGAAAGUCCUGCUUUCAAGGUGGGAACUGCUUUGGAGACUGGUUGGCUUGAGUGCAGAAGAGGUAAGUGGAAUUCCCAGUGUAGCGGUGAAAUGCGUAGAGAUUGGGAGGAACACCAGUGGCGAAGGCGACUUACUGGGCUGUAACUGACGCUGAGGCGCGAAAGCGUGGGGAGCGAACAGGAUUAGAUACCCUGGUAGUCCACGCGGUAAACGAUGAAUGCUAGGUGUAGGGGGUAUCGACCCCUCCUGUGCCGGAGUAAACACAAUAAGCAUUCCGCCUGGGGAGUACGGCCGCAAGGUUGAAACUCAAAGGAAUUGACGGGG